rnacentral:rRNA from 1 species
GACCUCAGUUCAGGUGAGAUACCGGCGAAUUUAG